rnacentral:lncRNA from 1 species
UAAGAAUUGGAAUUAUAUUAAAAUUUGGUACGAUUGUCGAUGAUUCAACUACCCACUAGGGUUCACAUGACGUGUAUGUUAUAAUCGACAAUAGGAAACCAUACGACCUGAGAAAGUGCAAAAACGCAUCAUUCUCAGUAUUGAAAGGCAUCGACAUGAAAAAUAGUAAUCAAUUCUAUCCAACAAAAAACCUAAAGUCCGAAUUUUAGAAAACAUUUACGAAACCAAAUAUUACAGACACGAUGAACUAACAACUACCGAUUAACAGGUUCCUAAAAAAAAUACGAACAAAGUUUUCUUUUUGGUUUUGUCUAUAAACCAG